rnacentral:rRNA from 1 species
GACAGAGGGUGCAAACGUUGUUCGGAAUUACUGGGCGUAAAGCGUGUGUAGGCGGCCCACUAAGUCGGAUGUGAAAGCCCUGGGCUCAACCCAGGAAGUGCACUCGAAACUGGUGGGCUAGAGUAUCGGAGAGGUUGGUGGAAUUCUCGGUGUAGAGGUGAAAUUCGUAGAUAUCGAGAGGAACACCGGUGGCGAAGGCGGCCAACUGGACGAAUACUGACGCUGAGACACGAAAGCGUGGGGAGCAAACAGG